rnacentral:rRNA from 1 species
GAUGAACGCUGGCGGCGUGCCUAAUACAUGCAAGUCGAGCGAACAGACGAGGAGCUUGCUCCUCUGACGUUAGCGGCGGACGGGUGAGUAACACGUGGAUAACCUACCUAUAAGACUGGGAUAACUUCGGAAACCGGAGCUAAUACCGGAUAAUAUAUUGAACCGCAUGGUUCAAUAGGGAAAGACGGUUUUGCUGUCACCUAUAGAUGGAUCCGCGCCGCAUUAGCUAGUUGGUAAGGUAACGGCUUACCAAGGCAACGAUGCGUAGCCGACCUGAGAGGGUGAUCGGCCACACUGGAACUGAGACACGGUCCAGACUCCUACGGGAGGCAGCAGUAGGGAAUCUUCCGCAAUGGGCGAAAGCCUGACGGAGCAACGCCGCGUGAGUGAUGAAGGUCUUCGGAUCGUAAAACUCUGUUAUUAGGGAAGAACAAAUGUGUAAGUAACUAUGCACGUCUUGACGGUACCUAAUCAGAAAGCCACGGCUAACUACGUG